UACAGAGGUCCCAAGCGUUGUUCGGAUUCACUGGGCGUAAAGGGUGCGUAGGCGGUCGGGUAAGUCUGAUGGUGAAAUCUCACAGCUUAACUGUGAAACUGCAUUGGAUACUAUCCGACUCGAGGAAUGGAGGGGAGACUGGAAUUCUCGGUGUAGCAGUGAAAUGCGUAGAUAUCGAGAGGAACACCAGUGGCGAAGGCGAGUCUCUGGACAUUUCCUGACGCUGAGGCACGAAAGCCAGGGGAGCAAACGGG
rnacentral:rRNA from 1 species